CCCUACAGGCCACCCUCCCAGUCUAACCGCGGCGCGGCAGCAUGGCGCAUGCGCCCCCGCUCUGCCACGCCCACCGCACCGCCCCCAAGCCCCUGAGCCACGCCCCCAAGCCACGCCCCCGCGCACGCGCGCCGGGCCCCUGCGGCCGCCGCAAUCCGGAGUCCACCGAGAGAGCCAGGAGUGGAGAUCGACUUAGGCACCAAUGGGAAGUCCUCUGCAGCGAAGGCGCUCUGGGGCCCUCCAUCACGCCAGGAAAUAGCUGA
rnacentral:lncRNA from 1 species